rnacentral:rRNA from 1 species
AACGAACGCUGGCGGCGUGGAUAAGACAUGCAAGUCGAACGCUGGCUGUGAGGUAGCAAUAUUUCGCAGUCGGAGUGGCGCAAGGGUGCGUAACACGUGGGUAAUUUACCGUGAAGCUGUGGAUAACUCCGGGAAAUCGGAGCUAAUACAGAAUGUGAUCACUUGAGGACAUCCUCUGGUGGUUAAAGUUGGGGACCGCAAGGCCUGACACUUCACGAUAAGCCCGCGGCCUAUCAGCUAGUUGGUGAGGUAACGGCUCACCAAGGCAAAGACGGGUAGCUGGUCUGAGAGGACGACCAGCCACACUGGAACUGAGACACGGUCCAGACACCUACGGGUGGCAG